rnacentral:lncRNA from 1 species
AGGCUGCAGUGAAUUCUACAAAGAGGCUAUGGGAAAGAAACCUGGAAAGGUAGGGAGUACCCUUGGCUGUGUACAUUUGAGUAAAGAGAGCACUAUAAAAUCAAAAACCAAUGAAAUGGUUUCCAGAACACAGAACUAUUAAGCUUAAGAAAAGGACAGAAGGAACUGAAGAGAGAGGAACUGUUUUGGAGCAUCACACUUCCACCUCAGAAGAAAUAAGGAAGGAAGGAGGAGGGUGUUCCCACGGCUCUUCAACCAGGCCGGCUCUUCAGCCUACAUCCCCAUCUCAUCAAGUAAAAGGGAUUUUUCAACUGGACCAACCAGAUGGUUUAACAGUGCACUCCCACACCAUUCAACUACGCAAGGGAGAUACACUUAACAUAUGCAGUCGUAUAACACCUACUAACAUUUUCAAACAUUAAACCUUUAAAAAAGAGUUCUAAAGAAAUAGAAGCUUGAAGUAUCAUCUCUCAAGUAUAUAGACACUACUUCAUGGUGUGGUAAUAUAUGCAUAUAGAAGCUAGUAAACACCUCCAGGAGAUGCAAAAGGAAUUAGAACUGCCACAAGGUGCAAGCAAAACCUUGAGCUUCUUUAAAAUAUGAAGACUUCGAAGUUAUUUAUCCAAACCAACCUGAUCAUUUCUUAAGAGUGAAUAUACCUUGGAAGACGUGUCCUGCCUUUAGUAGCGUCACAAUGGAUUACAUCCUCUAUAAAGCAGUCUGGGGUGAGAAAAUCGAAUUUGGACACCGUUGAGGAGACUAUUGCAGUCAUCCAAGCUCAAGAUGGUGGAGCUUCAUCCUUGAGAAUAACCAAUGGGGAUAGAUUUAAGAGACACUUAGAGUCUGCAGCCAACAGGGCUGAAUGAGCAGAGAGUUAUGAUUCAGAAGAUCAUCUAAAAUUGAACAGCUGCCACUACUGGCAAUAAGUCUACUGCCAUUUGGUAGAUAACCUUCUUAUCACACAGAAAAAUAUCAGUACAGACAAAUAGACCGCAAAGAAAAUGAGACCAUCAGCAAAGAAGAUAAAGAAGUUUGUACAAAGCAACUUUUUAUAAAUGGAUGGCUGUCAGGCAAAAAUAAAUUUCCUGUGGACAAGACCAAGAGCAAGGCAAGAGGAAAAUAAACAUGUUUAAAC